rnacentral:rRNA from 1 species
AUUGAACGCUGGCGGCAUGCCUUACACAUGCAAGUCGAACGGCAGCAUGGAGAGCUUGCUCUCUGAUGGCGAGUGGCGAACGGGUGAGUAAAGCAUCGGAACGUACCGUGUAGUGGGGGAUAACGUAGCGAAAGUUACGCUAAUACCGCAUACGCACUGAGGUGGAAAGCAGGGGAUCGUAAGACCUUGCGCUAUACGAGCGGCCGAUGUCAGAUUAGCUAGUUGGUAGGGUAAAGGCCUACCAAGGCGACGAUCUGUAGCGGGUCUGAGAGGAGGAUCCGCCACUCUGGGACUGAGACACGGCCCAGACUCCUACGGGAGGCAGCAGUGGGGAAUUUUGGACAAUGGGGGCAACCCUGAUCCAGCCAUGCCGCGUGAGUGAAGAAGGCCUUCGGGUUGUAAAGCUCUUUCGGCCGGGAAGAAAUCGCACAGGCUAAUACCCUGUGUGGAUGACGGUACCGGCAUAAGAAGCACCGGCUAACUACGUGCCAGCAGCCGCAGUAA